ensembl:rRNA 5S_rRNA 5S ribosomal RNA
GCCUGUGGCCAUAUUGCCCCUAGCUGUGAUCUUAUCAGAUCUUGCAAGCUCAGGCCUGCUUGGUACAUGGAUAGGAGACCUCCAAGGAGAACCCAGGUGCUGCAGGAA